rnacentral:rRNA from 1 species
GACGGAGGAUGCAAGCGUUAUCCGGAAUGAUUGGGCGUAAAGCGUCCGCAGGUGGCAGUUCAAGUCUGCUGUCAAAGACCGGGGCUUAACUUCGGAAAGGCAGUGGAAACUGAACAGCUAGAGUAUGGUAGGGGCAGAGGGAAUUCCUGGUGUAGCGGUGAAAUGCGUAGAUAUCAGGAAGAACAUCGGUGGCGAAGGCGCUCUGCUGGACCAUAACUGACGCUGAGGUGCGAAAGCGUGGGGAGCAAACAGG